CGUGUUUAAAAACCGACGACGACGGUUCGCUAUAUUAUUAUAAUGUUCGAAGAUCGAUAGUACGAUAUUAACGCGCGUUUACGGUACACGGAACUUUCGUGACGGGAGGUAACGGUAAACGUUUUGAAUUCUGUACGCCGCCUACUUGACAAGAAAAAUGAUAACAGAAACCACCACAGCGGGCUAGUAGCGAUUAUACCGAUUUC